CCGGGUCUGGCUCUUCUAGUUGUGGGAAUCUAGACUGCGUCCAGGAAGGAGGCGGGCGAUAUGGUUUUAGUUGCCACUCCUUGGGCCUGCCAGGGAGCACAAUUUCUGAGUUUCAUAGAUAUUUUCAAAGCGAUAUGAACCGUUCGCCAGCUGCACCUUAAGUGGCCCCAGUGAUCCCUAGUGGGCGCUUGAAACUUUUGCUAGACGCUUUGGCAGUUCGUAAAGAAACCGUGUGCGCGGUAGCCAAGCCACAGCCUUGGAGAGCCCCAUUACUGUAUGAGAGAGCGGCUUUUCCCGAGAAAUUAGGUUAGGGUUAAAGGGAUGAGCCGCAACCUUUUUUGUCCUGUGUCUAUGUCUGUCCUGGGCUCAGCCUGCUUCCACCCGGCCUCACUGUAAGGCGGUCAGGAGCGGCUGGAGGCUGCAUCUGGCCGUCUAGCUUGUGCUCCGUCCAUCCCGCGCACUUUGCACCCACAGGCAAGGUGGUGAGGAGUAAGUUCAUUGCACCAAAAAGGCCCAUCUACACUGAAGAACUUUCAGGGGAAUUUUGACUCACAAAUUCAAUGACUUUACAUUAGGAUGAGAAAUAUUUCAGAGAGUGCACAAUUAAUGUUCGUGUCAAUUGUGAAACAAUUUUCGCAAAAAUUUUAUCCGCCUUGAAGCAGCUAGCAAAAUUAUUUGUAAAAUGAAGUCUCAAAAACUUUGUUCCAGACAUACUUUGCUAUUUAAUUAUAUGAGAAGUGCCUGAGUGUGUUGCUUUUCUAUUGUUCUGUAACGAAUUACUACAAAUUAAUGGUUUAAAAUAUCACCCAUUUGGUAUCGUAGUCGUGUAGGUCCGGAGUUGGUAUGGUAUAGCCGAGUGCUCUGCUUAAGGGUCUCACACUGUUGAAGUAAAGGCGUCUGCAAGUGGAAUCUCAUUGAAGAUCUGGGUUUCUCUUCCAAGCCCCUGGCUGUUAGCAGAAUUAAUGUCCUUGUGUUUCUUAGUCUGAGGUUCUCCUUGUUUUGCUAGUUGUUGGCCAGAGGCUUUUGCCAAAUAGCUCUUCUAUAAGCUUUCUCAUACAGUCUCUGACUUCAUGGAGAUCCCUUUUAAGGAUUCAUCUAUGUGUUUAAAUCACCAACUUUUCACUCUUUCCACCAGGAACUUAGAGUCAGAAUUCUGGCAUAAGACUGGUAGAGCAUGAUGCCCACCUUACUACGAAUAAAAAUUGUCUGUCUUUCUAAGGAAUUUUAUAUUAAUACUCAGCACUUCAGGAAAAUUUCAUGGAAGAGCCCAAGACAUUUUCAAAUUGGAGAACCGAUUGGAUGAAUGAGUUUGAAUUCCAGAAAAAGAAAUGGGAACAACCAGUUAGCAUUCUUCAUGCCACUAAAGAAUCUUCCUUCCAAAUUAUGUGGAAGGAAAAGAUAUUUCUGGAAUUGGAUUUACUAUACUGAGGCUUUCUCAAAUAUGGUUGUUUCUUACCACUGGUACAUCUUAUACUAAACUUAGCUACAAAAAAGCACAUGUCACUGUGAUCCCAAUUAUAUGCUAUCAAUGAAUGGUGUUGUGUAAGGGCUCACAUUUUGAGGAACAUUUCUAAAGAUUUCCUGAGGCCUCUGAAGAGAUCUGAAGAUCUACAACCACCAAAAAUGGGCUGAUAUAUUUUGGAGAUUACAGCACGGUAGUGAACAGCUUUGGGUAUUGAAAGAUGGAGUUCGACUACCAGCUCUGUCAUUUACCAGCUUAGUGGCCGCAGGGGCUGAUUCAACUAUAUUUCCAAAAGAGACCAAUGAUUGAUUCAGCUUCUGGCCCCAUUGGAUACUUGAACAGCGGAUGAGAAAAUUUCUAUUCUCUUCUGGAUUCUAGCCAGAAACAGGAUCUCUGUCUGACCUCCAGGCUGGGGCCUUCCUGGUCACCUUGGUUAAAAUCUAACUACUUGUUUUGACCUCAUGCUGGGCAGAGAGUACUUGCGACCCCUUGAUGUUCGACUUGGACAUGUGACUUACUUUGGCAAUAGAAUCAUGGCAGACACAAUGCAAAUAGAAGCAUGGAACACACUUAGGUUACUGGGUUUGCCUAAUUGCGUUUCUGCCACUCCCAUGAGAGGCACAUCGUCCACUAGACUGCUGAUCCAGGGAAGAUGAGAAAUGUGGAGCAUAUGUGAGCCCAGCACAGAGCAGAGCCCCACCCUGCCAGAUCUGCAGCUUGAAGCAGAGCUACCUACCUGUGCCCACUCCAGAUCAGCCAAUACUCACCCAACCCAGUGAGAAAGAAAGGCCAUAUGAAAACACAACGGAAAGAGAGCUGUCUACAAGCCAACAAGAGAGGUCUCAUUAGAAACCAACCUUGAUGUCACUCUGAUCUUGCACUGCUAGCCUCGGGAACUAAGAGAAACCCAAACACAGCAGCCCAAGGAUAUGUCAGAGGCAUAUACUUAUGUUUUCCCAUCUAUCAUAUCAGGCUGUCCAGGUGGUUUGCUGCUCUGUGGUGCUGAGGAUUCAGAGAUGAAUCAGGCUUGACCUCAAAGACACAGAUCACUAGGCAUCCAUUUUCAAGACUGUAUGAUGAAACCAUCUUGUGGGACACCUGGGCAACUUGACUUCCCUGUGUGACGGAACUGUGCUGUAUAUUUGAGUUUACUGCUUCAGAGAAUAUUUAGUCGCUAAAUUCUUGCUGAAGUGUGUCAACAUUAAGUGAUGAUUCAGAAUACACAGCCACCAUAAUGUAUAUAGAAUUAUGAUGCCUCUGAUCUGAGAAGUAGAGGUAUAUAAGUGGUAAAAUUGUAUCCAAUGUGUUUGAAAUUUAUAAAGUUGUUUCAAGUCAUUUAAUAUUUUAAAAAGUAAUUUUCUUUAAUUCUUCUGUUGAGUUAAAGAUUAAAGUUCAUAUUUUACAAUAAAUAUUACUCUGUUUUUGUUCACUGAUAUCUCUUGUAGUAGUUUUAUCAAGUUUAUGAAUUAAUACUUUCAGAAAUGCUAUAUAAUUCUUCUUUCUUUGCAAGGUAUUUUUUGACCUCUAAGACCACUUUUUUUUUUGCCUUUCCUGAAAACACAAAACAUAUUACUAAGACACAGAUGGGAAAUUAUUGCAUGAUUCUUAGCUAGAUCCUCAAAGAAUCUCCUACUUUCCAUCUCCAUUUAUUUACAUUUUGCAGAGGAAACAUGAAACAAGUAUAAUAUUCAUCUGAUCAUUUCAUACUGAUGCAUGAGGCAAACUUUCAGAAAGGUCAGCUGGGAAAAAAAAAGGAAUUAAAAAAUAGUUUAACAAAAAUGUGCUGAAGAAGUAGGGAAAUAUUAGAAUGUCAGUGAAAGGGAUAUGAUCAUGAAGUGUCACAAACUAUUAAUUUUGAAACAUAAUAUUUAGGCACUUUCUGUUUUGUUAUUGGUGUGAGAAAAUCCAUUCCAUUGGAGAUAUAAAAUUUAACAGCCUUUUGGACACUUUGAAAAUCAGAUCCAAGUGUUUGUGUGAAUACGUGUCUGUGUGUUUUGGGAGAAGUUGUGAAGAAUAGUUUCAAUCACAUGAUCUCCAUUUUAAUUUUAUCCACAUGACCUGGGAUCCUACAGGGACCCCUUAAGAAGAGAGAAGUAGGUUAGUGCAGGGGUCAGAGCGAGAUCAAAGGACAACAGGCCAUCUUUAAAAGAAAAUAAAACAGGAAAAUAACAAUCUGGAACCAAGUGUUCAAGUGCUUUGAUAGUGACACCUACUUCAAUGAAAGCCUUCUGUGAAUCUGUGAUCCACGUUUUAUAAAAACCUACAAAUAUACUUGCAUAUUAAAAACAAUCAGUUACCCAUCAGGAUGUGCAACAAUACAAAAAAUUGCUCUAGUACUUUAAAAAAGAGUCAUGAUGAGAUCUGUUUUCCAGAGACUUAGCUUAUUUGGAAGAAAUAUUACCUCAAGUGCAACUUAUACUUUUGGAGACAAAGAUGAACUAUAACAUUGUUCCUGGAGCUUACAUUUUAUUUUAUUUUUUUUAUUAAAAAUUUAUUUAAUGUUUAUUUAUUUUUCAGAGACUGAGAGAGACAG